GUCUUGGCUGUAAACGGUGCGCAUUUGCUGUAAACGGAAUCGACCCCGUUUGUGGCGAAGCUAACGCGAUAAAUGCGCCGCCUGGGAAGUACGGUCGCAAGAUUAAAACUCAAAGAAAUUGACGGGGGCCUGCACAAGCGGUGGAGUAUGUGGCUUAAUUCGAUGCAACGCGAAGAACCUUACCUGGCCUUGACAUGCAAGUGGUAGAACCAUGAAAGUGGGACGACCCCGCAAGGGGAGCUUGCACAGGUGCUGCAUGGCUGUCGU
rnacentral:rRNA from 1 species